rnacentral:rRNA from 1 species
AUGGGUAUUUUUAAGUUCCCGGCUUCCCUUUGUGAGGAGUUAACACAGAUUAUCAGGAAUUUUUGGUGGGGAGAUGGGGAAGAUCGAAGAAAAACACAUUGGUUAGCUUGGGACAAAUUAACAAGGUCUAAAGGUAAGGGAGGUAUGGGAUUCCGGGAUCUCAGAUUAUUUAACCAAGCCCUCUUAGCCAAACAAGCGUGGAGGUUAUUGGUUCACCCGGAUUCGUUGUGUGCUAAGUUGAUGAAGGCAAAGUAUUACCCUCAUGGACAUAUUCUUGAUACAGUGUUUCCUCAGUCUGCAUCAGUGACUUGGCAAGGUAUUAUGCAUGGUCUAGAAUUGCUUAAGAAUGGUGUCAUUUGGCGGGUGGGUGAUGGAUCUAGCAUUAAUAUUUGGAGGGAUAAUUGGUUACCCAGGAGCACUGGACUUAAAAUUUCAGCUAAAAGGCAUAAUACUAGAUUGAAGUGGGUCUCUGAUUUGUUCUUGAGUGGGAGAAAGGCAUGGGAUGAAAAUUUGAUCAAGUAUCUUUUCUAUCCCCAUGAUGCAGAGGAGGUUCUUAAGAUUUGUAUUCAUGCUUAUGGGGAUGGGGAUUUUAUUGCGUGGCACUGUGAGAAUAACGGUACAUUUUCCGUUAAAAGUGCGUACAAUUUAGCACUUAAGUUGAAGGAUAGUCAAGAUAAAUUGGGUCAAUCUAGUGGCAAUCCAUGCUGAGAAAGAAGACUCUGGAAUUUAAUUUGGAAGGCUAAUAUCCCUCAAAAGAUAAGGACUUUUGCUUGGAGGGCCAUGACCGAUAGUUUGGCGGUCCAGACUAAUAGAGUUAAGCACCAUCAGAUUACUUCAGGUAUGUGCUCUAUUUGUGGAGUAGAAGAGGAAAGCACUUUUCAUGCCCUCCUUGUCCUAAGGCUCGUGCCCUGCGAUUGGCCUUGA